rnacentral:rRNA from 1 species
AGAGUUUGAUCCUGGCUCAGAUUGAACGCUGGCGGCAGGCCUAACACAUGCAAGUCGAACGGUAACAGGAAGCAGCUUGCUGCUUUGCUGACGAGUGGCGGACGGGUGAGUAAUGUCUGGGAAACUGCCUGAUGGAGGGGGAUAACUACUGGAAACGGUAGCUAAUACCGCAUAACGUCGCAAGACCAAAGAGGGGGACCUUCGGGCCUCUUGCCAUCGGAUGUGCCCAGAUGGGAUUAGCUAGUAGGUGGGGUAACGGCUCACCUAGGCGACGAUCCCUAGCUGGUCUGAGAGGACGACCAGCCACACUGGAACUGAGACACGGUCCAGACUCCUACGGGAGGCAGCAGUGGGGAAUAUU